rnacentral:rRNA from 1 species
GAUGAACGCUGGCGGCGUGCCUAAUACAUGCAAGUCGAGCGAACAGACGAGGAGCUUGCUCCUCUGACGUUAGCGGCGGACGGGUGAGUAACACGUGGAUAACCUACCUAUAAGACUGGGAUAACUUCGGGAAACCGGAGCUAAUACCGGAUAAUAUAUUGAACCGCAUGGUUCAAUAGUGAAAGACGGUUUUGCUGUCACUUAUAGAUGGAUCCGCGCCGCAUUAGCUAGUUGGUAAGGUAACGGCUUACCAAGGCAACGAUGCGUAGCCGACCUGAGAGAGGGAUAGGCCACACUGGAACUGGACCGCGGUCCAGACUCCUACGGGAGGCAGCAGUAGGGAAUCUUCCGCAAUGGGCGAAAGCCUGACGGAGCAACGCCGCGUGAGUGAUGAAGGUCUUCGGAUCGUAAAACUCUGUUAUUAGGGAAGAACAAAUGUGUAAGUAACUAUGCACGUCUUGACGGUACCUAAUCAGAAAGCCACGGCUAACUACGUG